UUUGACCCGUGGGUGCAAUAGGUUCGGGUCGAACUCGCGUAUGGCUUGCUGCACCCAUGGGUCGACCCGAACUCAUUGCACCCACGGGUCG
rnacentral:pre_miRNA from 1 species